UUGUAGGCGGUUCGGUAAGUUAAAGGUGAAAUGCCAGGGCUUAACCCUGGAGCUGCUUUUAAUACUGCCAGACUAGAGUCCGGGAGAGGAUAGCGGAAUUCCUAGUGUAGAGGUGAAAUUCGUAGAUAUUAGGAGGAACACCAGUGGCGAAGGCGGCUAUCUGGUCCGGUACUGACGCUGAGGUGCGAAAGCGUGGGGAGCAAACAG
rnacentral:rRNA from 1 species